AGGGAACGACUCUCUUGUGACCUAGCGCACCGGCUCUCUCGACUACCAUUGCAGGCACAGGCAGCGGCAGCGAUGGUGAAGGACGACCAGAUUCGUUUCCAAAAUUAGAUUUGCAUCAUGGAACAUUGGAUCUUUGACGGGUAAAAGUAUAGAGUUGAUAGAUGUUUUGCAGCGAAGAAGGAUUAAUGUCGCAUGUGUUCAAGAGACGAGAUGGAAAGGCAGUAAAGCUAAGGGGUUGGAUGACUUCAAGCUAUGGUACUUGGGAAGUGAUAGUGGGAGAGGUGGAGUGGGCAUAGCAGUGGACAAAGACCUUAAAAAUGACUUUGUGGAGGUAAAGAGAUUUGGGAAGAGGAUUAUCUUCAUUAAGCUGGUGCUAGAUGUUGAGAUUAUCAACAUAGCUAGCGCAUAUGCACCUCAAGCAUGACUUGAUGAAAGUGUUAAAUUACAAUUUUGGAAGCAUAUAGAUGAUGUGAUGCAUUGUGUUGGUUAGAGAGAAAAAAUCAUUAUAGGAGGGGAUCUAAACGGGCAUGUGGGAAAAGAUCCAAGAGGCUAUGAGGUCCAUGGAGGAUAUGGAUUAGGGGAAAGAAAUGAAGAGGGGAUCUCUGUGUUAGACUUUACAUUAGCUUAUGACUGUUGCAUUGCAAACACUUUAUUUGAGAAGAGAAGAAAUUUAGUUACAUACAAAAGUGGCCAGCAUGCAAGCCAAAUUGACUUCUUUUUUACUAAAAGAUAUGACAUAUUAUUGUGUAAAGAUUGUAAGGUUAUACCGGGAGAGAGUUUAACAUCUCAACAUCGAUUGUUUGUCUUA